UACGGAGGGUGCAAGCGUUAAUCGGAAUUACUGGGCGUAAAGCGCGCGUAGGCGGCUUAGUAAGUCGGAUGUGAAAGCCCCCGGGCUUAACCUGGAACUGCAUUCGAUACUGCUGGGCUAGAGUAUGGAAGAGGGAAGUGGAAUUCCGGGUGUAGCGGUGAAAUGCGUAGAUAUCCGGAGGAACACCAGUGGCGAAGGCGACUUCCUGGGCCAAUACUGACGCUGAGGUGCGAAAGCGUGGGGAGCAAACAGGAUUAGAUACCCGCGUAGUCC
rnacentral:rRNA from 1 species